rnacentral:rRNA from 1 species
UGACGAGGUUAAUAGGUUCGAGGUGGAAGCGUGGUGACACGUGGAGCUGACGAAUACUAAUCGAUCGAAGACUUAAUCAAUUU